AUUGAACGCUGGCGGCAGGCCUAACACAUGCAAGUCGAACGAGUGGCGGCCGGGUGAGUAAUGUCUGGGGAACUGCCUGAUGGAGGGGGAUAACUACUGGAAACGGUAGCUAAUACCGCAUACAAUCAGAUGUGCCCAUCUGGGAUGAGCUAGUUGGUGGGGUAACGGCUCACCAAGGAGACGAUCCCUAGCUGGUCUGAGAGGAUGACCAGCCACACUGGGACGUAGAUACGGUCCAGACUCCUACGGGAGGCAGCAGUGGGAAAUAUUGCACAAUGGGCGCAAGCCUGAUGCAGCCAUGCCGCGUGUAUGAAGAAGGCCUUAGGGUUGUAAAGUACUUUCAGCGGGGAGGCGUUACCCGCAGAAGAAGCACCGGCUAACUCCGUGCCAGCAGCCGCGGUAAUAC
rnacentral:rRNA from 1 species